rnacentral:rRNA from 1 species
CCUACGGGUGGCUGCAGUGGGAAAUAUUGGACAAUGGGGGCAACCCUGAUCCAGCCAUGCCGCGUGUGUGAAGAAGGCCCUCGGGUUGUAAAGCACUUUCAGUGAGGAAGAACGCCUGGUGGUUAAUACCCAUCAGGAAAGACAUCACUCACAGAAGAAGCACCGGCUAACUCCGUGCCAGCAGCCGCGGUAAUACGGAGGGUGCGAGCGUUAAUCGGAAUUACUGGGCGUAAAGCGCGCGUAGGUGGCUUGAUAAGCCGGUUGUGAAAGCCCCGGGCUCAACCUGGGAACGGCAUCCGGAACUGUCAAGCUAGAGUGCAGGAGAGGAAGGUAGAAUUCCCGGUGUAGCGGUGAAAUGCGUAGAGAUCGGGAGGAAUACCAGUGGCGAAGGCGGCCUUCUGGACUGACACUGACACUGAGGUGCGAAAGCGUGGGUAGCAAACAGGAUUAGAUACCCCAGUAGUC